rnacentral:rRNA from 1 species
AACGAACGCUGGCGGCAUGCCUAACACAUGCAAGUCGAACGAGACCUUUGGGUCUAGUGGCGCACGGGUGCGUAACGCGUGGGAAUCUGCCCUUGGGUUCGGAAUAACUGUGAGAAAUUGCUGCUAAUACCGGAUGAUGUCUUCGGACCAAAGAUUUAUCGCCCAGGGAUGAGCCCGCGUAGGAUUAGCUAGUUGGUGGGGUAAUGGCCUACCACGGCGACGAUCCUUAGCUGGUCUGAGAGGAUGAUCAGCCACACUGGGACUGAGACACGGCCCAGACUCCUACGGGAGGCAGCAGUGGGGAAUAUUGGACAAUGGGCGCAAGCCUGAUCCAGCAAUGCCGCGUGAGUGAUGAAGGCCUUAGGGUUGUAAAGCUCUUUUACCAGGGAUGAUAAUGACAGUACCUGGAGAAUAAGCUCCGGCUAACUCCGUG